UUCUCCUCCCUCCUUUUCUUUCUUUCUUUCUUUCUUUCUUUCUUUCCCUUACACCCACCACUCGCAGGGGCCACGCAGACGGUGGUGCGUAGGUAGGUAGGAACUCAAACCAGGCCAGUGACCACACCGACACCGACACCGCAGUGCGUUCGGAUGGUUUUUCGUUCGUCUCGAACCCCUAAAGGAGGAGAAGGAGAAGAGGGAGACGACUUGGAAGGAAGGAAGGAAGGAACAGCGGGAGACGUAGGAGAGUCGUAGACAGAAGAAGGAAAAGAAGAAGAAGAAGAAGAAGAAGAAGCGACGCUCGUGCCCCUAGACUAGACUUUUCCGAAGGCUCCGACGAGUAUGUUCAGUUCACCUAGGUAGAACCCUGGACAGCGCAGCACGACUAGCCGGCUGGAGGUACUACUUACACGAGAGGUCGCCGGUGGGCGUCUCGGACGCGUAGGUAGCGGUGGCGGUGGUGGUGGUGGUGCUGCACAGUAGUACAGGUGCGGCCUCGCCGAGUCCGGUACAGCGUCAAUUGGGAGUAGGAUCGUACUGGUCCUCCGAAAGAAGAUCGAGGAAGGCGGCUCCGCGGCAGUCCCGGCAGCGGCUGCUGCCGCCGCUUAGGUCGUCGCCGUUUCUGCUGCUGCCGCUGCUGCUGCUGGUUCUCUUCUUCGCUUCUUUUCUGCUGCUCCUCCCCUGCAGCAGCCGCAGCAGCUCCGCCUUGGCCCUCCUCGACCUCGCCGACCACCCCCGCGGGCUGCUGCUGCCGAAGUCGCCGGAGCUGGACCGGUGCGAGUAGGCCUUCGCGAUGCCGGCCUCGAUGCUGCACUGCGAGUAGGCCUUCGUCAAGUACCCCGCCUCGGACGACCGCUACUUGCACUACACCUUCAUGGCCCUCGUCGCGAGGAAGGGCGACUGCCUCCUCCUCAUGGACGAGGCGGAGCUGCUGCACCGGUUGUGCGAGGCGAGGACCCCGCGGCAGCGGGUGCAGGCGUUGAGGGAGCUCUGGUGGUUCCUGGCGGGGGCGUAGCCGUUCCGGCAGUCGUAGAAGUAGCUGCAGCUGAGGCGGCCGCCGCCGUUGGCGAGGCUGCUUACCUAGAUGUUCAUCAGUUAUUGAACAGUGGUAAGUCGUUGCGAUCGACGCUCGCAUACAGAGGCUCUAAGUAUUUUUAGGGAAUCGACUCGUCAAGUUCCCGUUCUAUAUGCUGAACACAUAUUGCGAACCAAUAAGGGUGAAUCGUCAUAGAUUAACUGGUGUCGUUUUAUAUGAAUCGGUCCCGGUCCGUCACCGCUAAGGUACACAUUCGACACCCCAGUGGACUGGGGUGUCGGAAAACCUAAAGUUCGUAUAAAGAUAAUUAUAAACACGUUUUUUAAUGUUGUAAAAUCUCUCAAAUCACGUAAACUUGGGUGUCGAAAAACCACGACCG
rnacentral:rRNA from 1 species